GAUGAACGCUAGCUACAGGCUUAACACAUGCAAGUCGAGGGGAAACGAUAUUGGAAGCUUGCUUCCGAUAGGCGUCGACCGGCGCACGGGUGAGUAACGCGUAUCCAACCUGCCCAUCACUUGGGGAUAACCUUGCGAAAGUAAGACUAAUACCCAAUGAUAUCUCUAGAAGACAUCUGAAAGGGAUUAAAGAUUUAUCGGUGAUGGAUGGGGAUGCGUCUGAUUAGCUUGUUGGCGGGGUAACGGCCCACCAAGGCGACGAUCAGUAGGGGUUCUGAGAGGAAGGUCCCCCACAGUGGAACUGAGACACGGUCCAAACUCCUACGGGAGGCAGCAGUGAGGAAUAUUGGUCAAUGGGCGAGAGCCUGAACCAGCCAAGUAGCGUGCAGGAUGACGGCCCUAUGGGUUGUAAACUGCUUUUAUAAGAGAAUAAAGUGGGAGUCGUGACUCCUUUUGCAUGUACCUUAUGAAUAAGGACCGGCUAAUUCCGUGCCAGCCGCCGCCGUAA
rnacentral:rRNA from 1 species